GACGAACGCUGGCGGCGUGCUUAACACAUGCAAGUCGAACGGUGAAGCGCCUUCCUUUUUGGUGGGUGUGGAUGAGUGGCGAACGGGUGAGUAACACGUUAGUAACCUGCCCCCUUCUUCUGGAUAACCGCAUGAAAGUGUGGCUAAUACGGGAUAUUCUGUGUCUGUCGCAUGAUGGGUCUGUGAAAGAUAUUGUUUCGGUGGGGGAUGGGCUCGCGGCCUAUCAGCUUGUUGGUGGGGUGGUGGCCUACCAAGGCGGUGACGGGUAGCCGGCCUGAGAGGAGGGUCGGCCGUCACAGUGGGGAGGCAAGGUCGAGAAGACUACUGGAGGCGGCAGUGGGGGAGAAUGUUGAACGAGGGGAGCAAGGAUGAUGCAGCGCCGCCGCGGGAGGGAUGGAGGCCGGCGGGUUGUGAACCUCUUUCGCCAGUGAAGCAGGCCUGCCUCGUUUGUGGGUGGGUUGACGGUAGCUGGAUAAGAAGCGCCGGCUAACUACGUG
rnacentral:rRNA from 1 species